AACGAACGCUGGCGGCGGGCCUCAUACAUGCAAGUCGAGCGCGAAAGUCCGCAAGGAUGAGUAAAGCGGCGCACGGGUGAGUAACACGUGGAUAAUCUACCCUUUGGAUUGGAAUAACCUGUCGAAAGACGGGCUAAUGCCGAGUAAGCCUUCGAGAGCGUGAAGCUCUUGCAGGGAAAGAUGGCGCAAGCUAUCGCCGAUGGAUGAGUCUGCGUCCCAUUAGUUAGUUGGUGAGGUAACGGCUUACCAAGACAAUGAUGGGUACCUGGU
rnacentral:rRNA from 1 species